rnacentral:rRNA from 1 species
GAUGAACGCUGGCGGCGUGCCUAAUACAUGCAAGUCGAGCGAACGGACGAGAAGCUUGCUUUUCUGAUGUUAGCGGCGGACGGGUGAGUAACACGUGGAUAACCUACCUAUAAGACUGGGAUAACUUCGGGAAACCGGAGCUAAUACCGGAUAAUAUUUUGAACCGCAUGGUUCAAAAGUGAAAGACGGUCUUGCUGUCACUUAUAGAUGGAUCCGCGCUGCAUUAGCUAGUUGGUAAGGUAACGGCUUACCAAGGCAACGAUGCAUAGCCGACCUGAGAGGGUGAUCGGCCACACUGGAACUGAGACACGGUCCAGACUCCUACGGGAGGCAGCAGUAGGGAAUCUUCCGCAAUGGGCGAAAGCCUGACGGAGCAACGCCGCGUGAGUGAUGAAGGUCUUCGGAUCGUAAAACUCUGUUAUUAGGGAAGAACAUAUGUGUAAGUAACUGUGCACAUCUUGACGGUACCUAAUCAGAAAGCCACGGCUAACUACGUGCCAGCAGCCGCGGUAAUACGUAGGUGGCAAGCGUUAUCCGGAAUUAUUGGGCGUAAAGCGCGCGUAGGCGGUUUUUUAAGUCUGAUGUGAAAGCCCACGGCUCAACCGUGGAGGGUCAUUGGAAACUGGAAAACUUGAGUGCAGAAGAGGAAAGUGGAAUUCCAUGUGUAGCGGUGAAAUGCGCAGAGAUGUGGAGGAACACCAGUGGCGAAGGCGACUUUCUGGUCUGUAACUGACGCUGAUGUGCGAAAGCGUGGGGAUCAAACAGGAUUAGAUACCCUGGUAGUCCACGCCGUAAACGAUGAGUGCUAAGUGUUAGGGGGUUUCCGCCCCUUAGUGCUGCAGCUAACGCAUUAAGCACUCCGCCUGGGGAGUACGACCGCAAGGUUGAAACUCAAAGGAAUUGACGGGGGCCCGCACAAGCGGUGGAGCAUGUGGUUUAAUUCGAAGCAACGCGAAGAACCUUACCAAAUCUUGACAUCCUUUGACAACUCUAGAGAUAGAGCCUUCCCCUUCGGGGGACAAAGUGACAGGUGGUGCAUGGUUGUCGUCAGCUCGUGUCGUGAGAUGUUGGGUUAAGUCCCGCAACGAGCGCAACCCUUAAGCUUAGUUGCCAUCAUUAAGUUGGGCACUCUGAGUUGACUGCCGGUGACAAACCGGAGGAAGGUGGGGAUGACGUCAAAUCAUCAUGCCCCUUAUGAUUUGGGCUACACACGUGCUACAAUGGACAAUACAAAGGGCAGCGAAACCGCGAGGUCAAGCAAAUCCCAUAAAGUUGUUCUCAGUUCGGAUUGUAGUCUGCAACUCGACUACAUGAAGCUGGAAUCGCUAGUAAUCGUAGAUCAGCAUGCUACGGUGAAUACGUUCCCGGGUCU